AUGUAUAAAUCAAUUGCAGGUACUUCCUCACAAAAGCUGUGCUGGAAGUAAAAGGGAACCCAGAUUUCUAUAAUACUGUUUGAAUAAGGGGCGGACCCGCCGCUGUAACCGUGGACGAACAUCAUAAUCCACUGCUCUAUCUUAAUAGGGUGGGAAGGAUGAUAAGUAGAACGAUACGGAAGCCAGAAGACCUGCCUGUAAUUGCUUCACGAA
rnacentral:ncRNA from 2 species